UACGUAGGGUGCAAGCGUUGUCCGGAAUUAUUGGGCGUAAAGAGCUCGUAGGCGGUCUGUCGCGUCGGCUGUGAAAACUCGGGGCUCAACUCCGAGCUUGCAGUCGAUACGGGCAGGCUAGAGUUCGGCAGGGGAGACUGGAAUUCCUGGUGUAGCGGUGAAAUGCGCAGAUAUCAGGAGGAACACCGGUGGCGAAGGCGGGUCUCUGGAACGCAACUGACGCUGAGACGCGAAAGCGUGGGGAGCAAACAGG
rnacentral:rRNA from 1 species